rnacentral:rRNA from 1 species
GAUGAACGCUGGCGGCGUGCCUAAUACAUGCAAGUCGAACGCUGGAAAUCUAGCUUGCUAGAUUGAAGGAGUGGCGAACGGGUGAGUAAUACAUAAGCAACCUACCCACGAAGACUGGGAUAAUCUCUGGAAACGGGGACUAAUACCGGAUAGGUAAUCGGAAGGCAUCUUCUGAUUAUUAAAGGUUAAAAACACUGGUGGAUGGGCUUAUGGCGCAUUAGUUAGUUGGUGAGGUAACGGCCCACCAAGACGAUGAUGCGUAGCCGGCCUGAGAGGGUGAACGGCCACAUUGGGACUGAGACACGGCCCAGACACCUACGGGAGGCAGCAGUAGGGAAUUUUCGGCAAUGGAGGAAACCCUGACCGAGCAACGCCGCGUGAGUGAUGACGGCCUUCGGGUUGUAAAGCUCUGUUGUAAGGGAAGAACGGUAGAUAGAGAAUAUCUAAAUGACGGUACCUUACCAGAAAGCCACGGCUAACUACGUG